rnacentral:rRNA from 1 species
UACGAGAGGUCCAAGCGUUAGUCGGAAUCACUGGGCUUAAAGGGUGCGUAGGCGGGCUUGUAAGUGUCUUGUGAAAUCCCAUGGCUCAACCAUGGAACUGCAGGGCAUACUGCAAGCCUUGAGGAAUCUAGAGGCCGGUAGAACGAUAGGUGGAGCGGUGGAAUGCGUAGAUAUCUAUCGGAAUGCCAAAGGUGAAGACAGCCGGCUGGGGAUUUCCUGACGCUGAGGCACGAAAGCGUGGGGAUCAAACAGG